rnacentral:rRNA from 1 species
UGGGGAAUAUUGCACAAUGGGCGCAAGCCUGAUGCAGCCAUGCCGCGUGUAUGAAGAAGGCCUUCGGGUUGUAAAGUACUUUCAGUCGGGAGGAAGGUGUCAAGGUUAAUAACCUUGGCAAUUGACGUUACCGACAGAAGAAGCACCGGCUAACUCCGUGCCAGCAGCCGCGGUAAUACGGAGGGUGCAAGCGUUAAUCGGAAUUACUGGGCGUAAAGCGCACGCAGGCGGUUUGUUAAGUCAGAUGUGAAAUCCCCGGGCUCAACCUGGGAGGGUCAUUGGAAACUGGGAGACUUGAGUGCAGAAGAGGAGAGUGGAAUUCCAUGUGUAGCGAUGAAAUGCGUAGAUAUAUGGAGGAACACCAGUGGCGAAGGCGGCUCUCUGGUCUGUAACUGACGCUGAGGCUCGAAAGCGUGGGGAGCAAACAGG